CGGACGGCUGAGUAAUGCGUAGGAACGUACCCCAAAGUGAGGAAUAACUGCCCGAAAGGGUAGCUAAUGCCGCAUGUGCUCUAAGGAGUAAAGCUUCGGCGCUUUGGGAACGGCCUACGUCUGAUUAGCUUGUUGGUGAGGUAAUAGCUCACCAAGGCGACGAUCAGUAGCUGGUCUGAGAGGAUGAUCAGCCAGACUGGGACUGAGAACGGCCCAG
rnacentral:rRNA from 1 species